rnacentral:rRNA from 1 species
GAUGAACGCUGGCGGCGUGCCUAAUACAUGCAAGUCGAGCGAACAGACGAGGAGCUUGCUCCUCUGACGUUAGCGGCGGACGGGUGAGUAACACGUGGAUAACCUACCUAUAAGACUGGGAUAACUUCGGGAAACCGGAGCUAAUACCGGAUAAUAUAUUGAACCGCAUGGUUCAAUAGUGAAAGACGGUUUUGCUGUCACUUAUAGAUGGAUCCGCGCCGCAUUAGCUAGUUGGUAAGGUAACGGCUUACCAAGGCAACGAUGCGUAGCCGACCUGAGAGGGGGAACGCCCCCACUGAAACGGAAACCCGUCCCAGACCCCUCCGGAAGGCGGAAGUGGGAAUUCUUCAGAAAGGGGAGAAGCCGUGAGGGACCAACGCGGAGUGAGUGAUAAGGUUCUUGGAAUCUUAAACCUUUGUUAUUGGAAAAGAAAAAUUGUUUAAUUAACUAGCCACGUCUGAACGAUACCUAAUAAAAAAGCCAGGCCUAGCUACGUC